GUGCUUGGUUAAGCAAGACAUAUACUAAAAUUAGAAUGAUACAGAGAAGAUGAGCAUGGCCUCUG
rnacentral:snRNA from 1 species